AAAGCCCACUGAGAGCUCACGCUGUGACACAGCUGGAAAAACAUGUUCCCAGCCUGCACGCAGAAGCAAAGAGACAAUGGUGGCCCCGGAUGCCUACCAGUAGUUACGCUGUAACAGUGUCAAAGGUUAAGGCAGAUUUUCUGCAGAUCAUGUAAAGAACUGUACUACAGUUACUAGAGGGUGACAGUAAGUAAUUCAGUAGGAGAAAAAAACCACCUGCUCCAUCUGUCAACUGAGGACUGCAUACAAAGAAGCCUGAGAAAACUUCCCAACAAGAAAAUACAGAAUUAAACAAUGGACCAAAAAAGCAGUAAGGAUGGGAGACAUCCAAUACAAAACAGACACACACACCCCCUCUCUCACAUGUAGGCCCCUGAAAGUGGGAUCACAGUGAUAAAAGUUAGAGAUCAUAGAGCGGUAAGUUACACUGUCACUAAAAAGAAAGUAACGUCUUGCUUACAGGAAAUAUCUGGUAUUCCCCAGGACUGUUAGUGCCUGAACAAAGAUGAGGUUUUUCAUUGUGCUCUGCAACACAGCUGAUUGUAGGUCUUAAGCUUGGCUGUAAGGAAGAACUGUUACAUAGAGGAGUUACCUUUUCCGUUGACAUUUUUUACCCCAUGUAUUCUUGUCAUACUGCUAUAGCAGUAAAAAACGCAACUUGUUGAAAAAAAGCUCUACAUUCAAGUGACUUAUUCUCCUGUGU
rnacentral:lncRNA from 1 species